UUAGGCAGGAUUCUUGCUGAUUACUUUACCAUAUCAGCUCCCCUAGGGUUCUGCAUAAUAACAUCAGCCCCUUGCUUGGUGGGUUCCUCUGAUUGGCUAAUCAUCCUUUUGGCUCCCAUAUGCACAAUGGUCUCUCACCUUUUGUUGAACCAGGUGCGCAGUCAUUUUCCUAAUUGAGUAACUUGCAUAUUCCGGCCCCAGGCAAAUUCUGCCCUUCUCACACAUGAAGGAUGGAGCGAACAGUCCAGGCACUUUGGCACAGAUGCCCAUGACUAGUGCUGGCCCAGGCAAUCUAACAAUAAGAGUCAAAGCCCAUAAGCAGGCAUGGGAAUAAAGAAGUGGGGUAAAGCUUACCUUCUCUCCGGUGCCCACAUGAAGCCCCUCUCGGACUUUGGCAAAGGAGCCUUCCCCCAGUUUCCGGCCGAUCAGGUAGCUGCCGACCCGCUUGGUGUGCUGGAAGGUGCGCAGAGUUUCCCGGGACACGGAGCUGACACAGGCCGGUAGGAAGCUCUCUGCCAGCUGUACGGGGGGCUUCUCCCCGGCUAAGAACCUGGAGGGCGACUCGCCGAGCCCGUCCCCAGCGGCAGCCGGCAUCCUGGGGAGACAGAGGAUCCCACUGAGUGCGCAACUCCAAGGUCGGAUUUACUGUCCCCUACAGCGCACAGCGCUCAUGUAACUUUAUAGCGCCCUAGAGUCGCACAAGUAGCGCUGAGUGAGACCCCCAACUAUACAAAUCCCACACACUUCCUAGUGGCAGCAGUUCAGCUGUGUGUCCCCUGCAACACAAAUCCAAUACACUUCCAAGUGAUCCCCUGCGACUUGAGAGCGGCACUACUCGGCGCCACAAUCGCAAGGCAGCGUUUAACAGCUCAGUGACUACACAGUGUCCCAUGCAGCACAAAUCCCAUGCAUUUGUAGGUAGAAGCACACAGCAACUUUCCCUGCUUCUGUCGCAUCCGCUCAGCUAGGGUCAGUGGGUGCAGCACCCAUAUAACUUUAUAGGAGCACCUUUCACAAGUGACCCCCAAGACGCUUUAAAGCCCCUGCAGCCUAAGGCAGUUACAGAUCUCCAGGCUGUAGGAAUGGAUCCUUCCAAAGUGUGUGAAUCCCAUGCAGAAAGUGGCAGCUGUACCCCCACAGUACCCCACAGCUGGCCCAGUACCCCUCUCCUAGCUGGGCUCACUGAGAGUCGGAGUAAGACGCAGGCUGCUACUGCUGCUAAAUAGCCUCAUUCAGUCCCAGCGAGCAGCAGCGACAGGAGUCAUUUAAUCCGAUCACAGGCGGCGGGAGCAGAUGUGCGCUCAGCUCAGCACUCGGCUAAAAUACCAAACCCCUUUCAAAUCCUGAGAGUUUUUUCCUGAGCCCUCCCUCCUCGCCACUGAGCCAAGCCCACAGGCUCUCGCUGCUAUAUUUAGGUGCCUGGCCACUGGAUUGUGCUGGAUUGGCGAGCAAAAGGCUCAGUGGUGACUCGGUGCCACAUGGAAAUGUGUGCCCACUCCCAUUCAUUCCUCAUUUAUUCAGUGCCAACCUGUUCCUCAGUGCCAACCUGUUCCUUAGUGCCAUGCAGUAGAACAUCAGCAUUUAAAUGGCACUUGUAGCUGGAGAGUAGGAAGCCAUAUUGUAUGGCACUUUGCAGGGCACUCAGUGCCAACCUGUUCCUCAGUGCCAACCUGUUCCUCAGUGCCAUGCUGUAGAACAUCAGCAUUUAAAUGGCACUUUUAGUACUACAAUAGCUGGAGAGUGGGAAGCCAUAUUGUAUGGCACUUUGCAGGGCACUCAGUGCCAACCUGUUCCUUAGUGCCAUGCAGUAGAACAUCAGCAUAUAAAUGGCACUUGUAGCUGGAGAGUGGGAAGCUAUAUUGUAUGGCACUUUGCAGGGCACUCAGUGCCAACCUGUUCCUCAGUGCCAUGCAGUAGAACAUCAGCAUUUAAUGGCACUUGUAGUACUACAAUAGCUGGAGAGUGGGAAGCCAUAUUGUAUGGCACUUUGCAGGGCACUCAGUGCCAACCUGUUCCUCAGUGCCAUGCAGUAGAACAUCAACAUUUAAAUGGUACUUGUAGUACUACAAUUGCUGGAGAGUGGGAAGCCAUAUUGUAUGGCACUUUGCAGGGCACUCAGUGCCAACCUGUUCCUCAGUGCCAACCUGUUCCUCAGUGCCAUGCAGUAGAACAUCAGCAUUUAAAUGGCACUUGUAGUACUACAAUAGCUGGAGAGUGGGAAGCCAUAUUGUAUGGCACUUUGCAGGGCACUCAGUGCCAACCUGUUCCUCAGUGCCAUGCAGUAGAACAUCAACAUUUAAAUGGUACUUGUAGUACUACAAUUGCUGGAGAGUGGGAAGCCAUAUUGUAUGGCACUUUGCAGGGCACUCAGUGCCAACCUGUUCCUCAGUGCCAACCUGUUCCUCAGUGCCAUGCAGUAGAACAUCAGCAUUUAAAUGGCACUUGUAGUACUACAAUAGCUGGAGAGUUGGAAGCCAUAUUGUAUGGCACUUUGCAGGGCACUCAGUGCCAACCUGUUCCUCAGUGCCAACCUGUUCCUCAGUGCCAUGCAGUAGAACAUCAGCAUUUAAAUGGCACUUGUAGUACUACAAUAGCUGGAGAGUGGGAAGCCAUAUUGUAUGGCACUUUGCAGGGCACUACUGGGGGGUGGUGGGGCUUAGGAUCAAAUAUCCUUUGCGGUUUCCCACUGGUAUAAACUAACACUCCAGCUGUAUUUGGACUACAGUGUCCAGCCUCCCUUAGAAAGCCUUGGAUUAGUUAAUGGAGUUUUGGGCAAAGAUGGAGGGUGAUUUUUAUGUUUUGGGAAGCUAAUUAAAGACGUUUUCCUUUAUAGCACCCCAGAAUAAAUUCUACCUAUAAUACCCCAAAGCACAAGGCAGGGUAAAUGCAGUGGGAAUUUCAGGCACAAUAGCCCAAUCCGCAUACACAUGGCAGAAUAAAGAGCCUAUUGAUACCAUGCUUUAUUGCAGCAUAAAUACAAUGCCUAUGUAUAAUAACCCCAAAACACAUGGCAGGAUGAAGGCCAAUACAAUAAAUAUAAAUACAUUCUGUCUGUUGUAGGACAUUCAUUGUUGUUGCUUGGGGGGCUUCCCCUGCCUUUAUUAAAAUCUGUUUAGGGUUGUAGUUCAGUAACAGCUGUAGCAGCUGGAUUGGGCAACCUAAAUAUACAUGGAAUUAUGAAGGGAACAUGGACCUCAGUGUGCAUGCUUUUGCAGGGUUGGACUGGAUUGUGCCGGCGGGACACCAGGAAAAAACCCUGUGGGCCCCGCUGACCGAGACCCGAUCCCACCUGCCGAUUGCAGCAAAGUAAGGGAAGGGCUGGGGUAGGUGGGUGACCGAGUGGGCAGGCUGUGGGGGCCCUUGGGUUGUAGCAGCCCUGGAGGGCCUCACACACCCCAGCAGACACAGUGCAUUUGUACAGGUCAUGGAAUGCCAAGGUGACUUCCAAUAUCAGAAGGCAUGGCAAGCACUAGAGUCGUUAUAAUCACGCCCUGCCCUUCCUUAGUAAAUAACCCCCAGCAUGUGCUAUAAGCACCUCUUUAAUUCCUCCCCUUUCCAUAUACAUGUCAUUGUUGCCCUAUUUCAUAUGCACCCCCAGGCUAAAGUGUAUGUUUAUUCUACAGCCAAGCAGUAACAUUUACAUAAACUCCCUCAGUUGCCUAUAGGAAUACAGGGACACCGCAUGUGGGGGUAUAACAGCAGGGGGCUGGGAGUGGCGUCUGAUAACAUCCUGCUGGGGGGGGGGUAUUUCCAUAUUCGAUGAUGGUUUCUGGCCAGGAUGUGAAUGGUGCAAAGUCCAAAGUCGAUCGGACAGGUUAGGAAAUUUUUGUCAGAUAAAAAUAUCUGUGUAAGUGUUGCCUAUCUGACGAUAUCCUUGGGUGACCUACAAUGUAUUUCCGGGGCCAGGGGUGUUUCUGGUAAUUAUUAAUGGGCAAAACAUUGCCGGAUUUGUUAUUUUUAGGACAA